UACGGGGGGGGCAAGCGUUGUUCGGAAUUACUGGGCGUAAAGGGCCAGUAGGCGGCCAACUAAGUCCGACGUGAAAUCCCCAGGCUUAACCUGGGAACUGCGUCGGAUACUGGAUGGCUUGGAUCCGGGAGAGGGAUGCGGAAUUCCAGGUGUAGCGGUGAAAUGCGUAGAUAUCAGGAGGAACACCGGUGGCGAAGGCGGCUUUCUGGACAGAUACCGACGCUGAGGCACGAAAGCUAGGGGAGCAAACGGG
rnacentral:rRNA from 1 species